GAAUAUGGGGGGACCAUCCUCCAAGGCUAAAUACUCCUGACUGACCGAUAGUGAACCAGUACCGUGAGGGAAAGGCGAAAAGAACCCCGGCGAGGGGAGUGAAAAAGAACCUGAAACCGUGUACGUACAAGCAGUGGGAGCACAGAGCAAUCUGUGUGACUGCGUACCUUUUGUAUAAUGGGUCAGCGACUUAUAUUCUGUAGCAAGGUUAACCGAAUAGGGGAGCCGAAGGGAAACCGAGUCUUAACUGGGCGUUAAGUUGCAGGGUAUAGACCCGAAACCCGGUGAUCUAGCCAUGGGCAGGUUGAAGGUUGGGUAACACUAACUGGAGGACCGAACCGACUAAUGUUGAAAAAUUAGCGGAUGACUUGUGGCUGGGGGUGAAAGGCCAAUCAAACCGGGAGAUAGCUGGUUCUCCCCGAAAGCUAUUUAGGUAGCGCCUCGUGAAUUCAUCUCCGGGGGUAGAGCACUGUUUCGGCAAGGGGGUCAUCCCGACUUACCAACCCGAUGCAAACUGCGAAUACCGGAGAAUGUUAUCACGGGAGACACACGGCGGGUGCUAACGUCCGUCGUGAAGAGGGAAACAACCCAGACCGCCAGCUAAGGUCCCAAAGUCAUGGUUAAGUGGGAAACGAUGUGGGAAGGCCCAGACAGCCAGGAUGUUGGCUUAGAAGCAGCCAUCAUUUAAAGAAAGCGUAAUAGCUCACUGGUCGAGUCGGCCUGCGCGGAAGAUGUAACGGGGCUAAACCAUGCACCGAAGCUGCGGCAGCGACGCUGAUGCGUUGUUGGGUAGGGGAGCGUUCUGUAAGCCUGUGAAGGUGUGCUGUGAGGCAUGCUGGAGGUAUCAGAAGUGCGAAUGCUGACAUAAGUAACGAUAAAGCGGGUGAAAAGCCCGCUCGCCGGAAGACCAAGGGUUCCUGUCCAACGUUAAUCGGGGCAGGGUGAGUCGACCCCUAAGGCGAGGCCGAAAGGCGUAGUCGAUGGGAAACAGGUUAAUAUUCCUGUACUUGGUGUUACUGCGAAGGGGGGACGGAGAAGGCUAUGUUGGCCGGGCGACGGUUGUCCCGGUUUAAGCGUGUAGGCUGGUUUUCCAGGCAAAUCCGGAAAAUCAAGGCUGAGGCGUGAUGACGAGGCACUACGGUGCUGAAGCAACAAAUGCCCUGCUUCCAGGAAAAGCCUCUAAGCAUCAGGUAACAUCAAAUCGUACCCCAAACCGACACAGGUGGUCAGGUAGAGAAUACCAAGGCGCUUGAGAGAACUCGGGUGAAGGAACUAGGCAAAAUGGUGCCGUAACUUCGGGAGAAGGCACGCUGAUAUGUAGGUGAAGUCCCUCGCGGAUGGAGCUGAAAUCAGUCGAAGAUACCAGCUGGCUGCAACUGUUUAUUAAAAACACAGCACUGUGCAAACACGAAAGUGGACGUAUACGGUGUGACGCCUGCCCGGUGC
rnacentral:rRNA from 1 species